AGUGACAGCGAUCACAUAAACGAGAGAUGUAUAAACGUGAAGAAGUUUAGCUUUUAUAUACAGAACAACUAGAGACAGAGCACUGGGAAGAGGGGCCCAUUGAAGAGUUUUAAAUAGGGAAGCAACAGAAUGAGGUUUGAAUUCACAAAGACCAUUCACUUUUCCUUUAGGAAGCCUUUCAGCGGUAAGAGGCAAGCGUGGAAAUGUAGGUGGCAGAAGGGCUGGACAGAACGCAGAGUGAGUGUGCACUCAUUUCUCCCAGAGCAGGACCUUGAUCUGCAGAAUGACCAUGUUCCUGAGAGGCAAUGGCUGGUCUCUAGGGGCUCUUCCACUCUGAGGCCUACAUUUCGUGAUUGCUGACAGAUUGCAAGAUACAAGAAAAGUCAAAGCUUCAAAACAAAGGAAUUUUGGCCUUUAUAUUGAAUUCCAUUAAGAUGCCAUCAGAGGAAGAUGACGAGUCUAAGACUAUUUGAUACUUUUGGAAAAAAGCCUGUUAUCUUGAAGGUAUUUUUUACCUCUCCCAACCCCAAAUUUUCUGCAGAAUAAUGCACAUAUAAUGAAUGCUCAA